AUGAAUGCCAUAGCUUGGAACUAUCGCGGGCUUGGGAACCUGGAGACAGUUCGUGAGCUUCACAACCUUAUGAGGCUAGAAGUGCCCGCCCUUGUUUUUUUGUGUGAGACAAAGAUCAAGGGUGAUCGUGUGACUGAUCUAACAAAAAGACUUGGUUUUGAAGGAUGCUUUUCAGUUGAUAGUGCGGGCCUCAGUGGAGGUUUGACGUUGUUUUGGUCCAAAGGAGUAAAGGUUAAAGUGGAGACAAUGUCUGAUCAACAUAUUGAUGCAAAAGUUACGAAUAUUGGUACCGAUAACAAGAGUUGGAGGUUUACGGGUUUCUAUGCGAAGGCAAAACGUAAGGAACGUUCAGCUAGUUGGGAAUUGUUAAGAUGGUUGCGGACCCAAAGUGACCUACCAUGGCUGUGUGGAGGUGACAUGAAUGAGAUUCUCCAUGGUUCUGAGUACUUUGGUAUGCAUGAUCGCCCGGAGUGGCAGAUGGAAGGGUUCCGGGAAGUGAUGGACACUACAAAAAAAUACACUUCUGUGAUGAUACGUGUUUGUCACAGUAGGUCGCGUUUUCUGUCAUGCAUGUACAUCCAUGACAAAUUUAUGACAGAAUCAAGAUAG
rnacentral:rRNA from 1 species